GAAACCCUACGGGAGGCAGCAGUGGGGGAUAUUGCACAAUGGGGGAAACCCUGAUGCAGCGACACCGCGUGUGGGAAGACGGUCCUCUGGAUUGUAAACCACUGUCCCCAGGGACGAAGGUGACGGUACCUGGGGAGGAAGCUCCGGCUAACUACGUGCCAGCAGCCGCGGUAAUACGUAGGGAGCGAGCGUUGUCCGGAAUUACUGGGUGUAAAGGGAGCGUAGGCGGGACUGCAAGUUGGGUGUCAAAUCUACCGGCUCAACCGGUAGCCGCACUCAAAACUGCAGUUCUUGAGGGAAGUAGG
rnacentral:rRNA from 1 species